rnacentral:RNase_P_RNA from 1 species
GAGUGGUGGGCUGCAGCUGUCGGAGAGAACCGGCUAUCGGGCGCCAUGGUAGAAAUGCCUAGGAGCCUGAAAGAACCGUAGGUUCUUUCUGAGGAAGUUCGGUCCAUCGAGCCAAACGAACGCCUUAAGGGCGUUGCGGGGGAACAGAAACGAACCGCCGGCCGAGGAUGAAUAUGACGGAAGGAAGACGACGCCGGACGGAUGAAACGACUCCCGUGAAGCGAUGAGAUGCAAGGCCUUUGCGCCGCUUAGUCGAAUGCUGCGAAUACAGAAGACCGACUAUAGCCCGCCACUC